rnacentral:rRNA from 1 species
UCUACGGGUGGCAGCAGUGAGGAAUAUUGGUCAAUGGACGCAAGUCUGAACCAGCUAUGCCGCGUGCAGGAUGACGGCUCUAUGAGUUGUAAACUGCUUUUGUACGAGGGUAAACCCCGAUACGUGUAUCGGGUUGAAAGUAUCGUACGAAUAAGGAUAGGCUAACUCCGUGCCAGCCGCCGCGGUAAUACGGAGGAUCCGAGCGUUAUCUGGAUUGAUUGGGUUUAAAGGGUGCGUAGGCGGUUUGAUAAGUUCGAGGUGAAAGGGCUGGGCUCAACCCCGAAACUGCCUCGAAUACUGUUUGACUAGAGAAUAGUUGCGGUAGGCGGAAUGUAUGGUGUAGCAGUGAAAUGCUUAGAGAUCAUAAAGAACACCGAUUGCGAAGGCAGCUUCCCAAACUAUAUCUGACGUUGAGGCACGAAAGCGUGGGUAGCAAACAGGAUUAGAUACCCGUGUAGUC